CCCUUAGAUGUCCUGGGCCGCACGCGCGUUACACUGAUGCAUUCAACGAGCUUAUAACCUUGGCCGAGAGGCCUGGGCAAUCUUGUUAACGUGCAUCGUGAUAGGGAUAGAUUAUUGAAAUUAUUAAUCUUGAACGAGGAAUUCCUAGUAAACGCAGAUCAUCAAUCUGCAUUGAUUACGUCCCUGCCCUUUGUACACACCGCCCGUCGCACAUACCGAUUGGAUGGUCCGGUGAAGCCUCGGGAUUGUGGUUCUUGCCGCUUUAUUGUGGCGUGACCGCGAGAACUUGUCUAAACCUUAUCAUCUAGAGGAAGGUGAAGUCGUAACA
rnacentral:rRNA from 1 species